UACGUAGGUGACAAGCGUUGUCCGGAUUUACUGGGCGUAAAGAGCGCGCAGGCGGUCGAUCAAGUCGAGUGUGAAAGCCCCCGGCUCAACUGGGGAGGGUCAUUCGAUACUGAUCGACUCGAAGGCAGGAGAGGGUAGUGGAAUUCCCGGUGUAGUGGUGAAAUGCGUAGAUAUCGGGAGGAACACCUGUGGCGAAGGCGACUACCUGGCCUGUUCUUGACGCUGAGGCGCGAAAGCUAGGGGAGCAAACGGG
rnacentral:rRNA from 1 species